rnacentral:SRP_RNA from 1 species
GUGUGGAAUAGACUGGGGAGGUAGGCGUUCCCUGUAACCAGAAAUCGCCGAUAUGCUGGGGUCGAAACCAAGAGGCGGUGCGGCGAUCAUUUAUUGAUCCAUCUGUUGACUAUGAGACCUUGUCCUAUGGGAUUAGAGGUGAUGAUUUCAUAUGGUUGGAAGGCCAUAUGUUCAUCUUUAUUGUGGGAACCGGGUCAGGCACGGAAGUGAGCAGCCUUACCACAAACUGCUGAUGCUCAUAGGGUAAACGGGGUUGAGAAUGCAGAUGGGCAGUCAGUAGAUGAAACGUGCAUCCACUCAAGGACCUUCCAUGC